CACGUAGGGCGCGAGCGUUGUCCGGAAUUAUUGGGCGUAAAGAGCUCGUAGGCGGCCUGUUGCGUCCGCUGUGAAAGCCCGGGGCUUAACCCCGGGUCUGCAGUGGAUACGGGCAGGCUAGAGGUAGGUAGGGGAGAAUGGAAUUCCCGGUGUAGCGGUGAAAUGCGCAGAUAUCGGGAGGAACACCGGUGGCGAAGGCGGGUCUCUGGGCCGUAACUGACGCUGAGGAGCGAAAGCGUGGGGAGCGAACAGG
rnacentral:rRNA from 1 species